AGUAACACAUCGGAACGUGUCCAUAAGUGGGGGAUAGCCCGGCGAAAGCCGGAUUAAUACCGCAUACGAUCUACGGAUGAAAGCUGGGGAUCGCAAGACCUGGCGCUUUAGGAGCGGCCGAUGUCCGAUUAGCUAGUUGGUGGGGUAAAGGCCUACCAAGGCGACGAUCGGUAGCUGGUCUGAGAGGAUGAUCAGCCACACUGGGACUGAGACACGGCCCAG
rnacentral:rRNA from 1 species